rnacentral:lncRNA from 1 species
UUUCUCCACCCCUGAAUCUGGGCUCAGCCCUGUGACCUGCCUUGUGCUUUAUCUCUGGACAGAAGGAGCGAUACAGGCAGAGGUUUGCAAAGAGCUUAUGCAUUCAGGCUCACUCUCCUGGUCCUGGGACCCCCCACCCCCUGCCAGCAUGGGAACAAGCCGCCUCAGCUGCCCCCAGCAUUCCAGUCCCUGAAAUAGGGGCAAGGCCCACCUGGGCCACCCAGCCCCAACCAGGCCAGCUCAGAAGAGUCCCCCAGCCAGCUCACAGAGUCACAGGAAAUAACAGAUCCUGCGCCGUGUUAGGCCACACAGUUGGGGGUGCUUUGUUACACGGCAACAGCUAGCUGUUUCAUAUCUCCAGCCGAGAGAUGCUGGGCAAUAGAACCUGUUAACUGGGUCACAAAGUCCCCCACAAGGGUUUCUGUGUCUAAAAGGAAGGGGAGAGUGAAGGUCAGGACAGGCUGGAUAGGAGCCCCCGCCACUCACAGAGGCCAGUUCUGCUCUGGCCUGCCCCCCGCCCCCCCACCGAGCCCAGAAGACAGGCCCAGUGCACACCCCCAGCUCAUUGCCAGAGAGAUUCAAUCCCUGUGCCCCCAGGUGCUGAGGCAACAGCUAGGACGGAGGCUCCGAGCUGGCCCACCAAGGCCCCGCCACCCACCUCCCCCUGAGUGUCCAGUGCAGCGGCAGUGCGCCAACAGGCACCCCGUCCCUCCAUUCUGGACUCAGAGCCUGCCCGGCUCCCACGCACAGCCUCCCUGAAGGCCCAGGCCGCUGCCCCACCAGCCCUGCACACCCACCUCCUCCUCCAGCCCAGGCGUCCCGGGCAGCAAGUGGCAACCAGCUCUCGGGGUCGGCACUGACUCCAGCAUGAGGGGAAGCGGCUGUGUGACCCCCGUACUGACCACUCAGCAGGACCUCCGUUACCUGCUGGCCUUGGGGACGGGAGCAGAGAGAACGGCCCCGGAACUGUGCAGAGGCUGCAUGUGACAAGAGCAGAAAGCUCGCUGCACUCCUGAGCCGCCCAGCCGCCCCCCUGGGAGAGCGAGAAGCCAGCUGUGCCGGGCAUCCCGGGGCCUGGCAAUAACUCCUGCUGAGCCAGGACCACCCCCACCCUCCACAUCCCCUCCUCUACCUCAGUUUGCCUGGCUGUGAAAUGGGAUAGUUAGACCAGCUCAGGGCCCCCCGGGCCGGGCUGGGGAAGAAGGGGCACCAGAGCACUCUGGUGAAGGCCUGCCCCACCUAAAGGGCGUGCACCUCUUCACCGCCAGACAGGUGCCAGCCAGUGUUGCCAGGGCAUAUAAUCUAGACUUAGUUGUGAAAUCUCCAGUAGUGGAGUGAACGGUGGCCCCCAAAAAGACAUGUCCAACUCCUAAUCCCCAGAACCUGUGAAUAUGACCUCAUUUGGAAAAAAGGUGUCAGCAGGUAGAGAACUAAAAGAAGAGUCUGGAGACAAGGUCAUCCUAGAGGGCACAAAACCCAGUGACAAGUGUCCUUAGAAGGGCAGAAGGCAGAAAGAAGAGAGACAGCCACUGGCAGGGACUGCGGGCACCCGUGGGCAGCUGGAAGAGGCAGGAAGGACCCUCCCUGCAGAGCGUCCAGGGAGAGCGAGGCCCUGGCACUCCUCGAGCUCCGGCCUGCGGCCUCCAGAACUGGGAGAGAUGGAUUUCUGUGGCGCUAAGCUGGCCCGCUGGUGGUCCUUUGUUACAGCCACCCCCAGGACACUGACACCUCCUAGCAGGAUGCUGGCUCGUUCCUUGUAUGACUCCUAAAGGAACCAAUGUCAGUGAGCACAUCGGCAGCCCCCUCGCCCUGAAAGCCCUGGUCAGUGGGGCCAGGACUCCGGACCACAGUGCCUAGGAAACUGUGUGACGCUGGGGGUAACUCAACCCUUAAAGCCUCUCGCUGCCCCUUCGCUAACGUGGAGUCAGACAGUGGCAGCGCCUCCUCCGUGGGGCAGCCAAGAGGCCACACGAGGUAACCCGGCUGCAGAAAACUGAAGUGCCUCUGCCCACUAAAUGGUGGUAGUCACAAAAAGCCACUUGGGGUCCUGAGUCUUGGAUGUGACAAGGUUCCCACGUUCCCUGCUCACGCUGCCUCCCCCAGCUCCCUCGACCAGACACGGCGGCUGUGGACGCACGGCUGUGGACGCAGACCCAGGCCCGGAAGGUUCUGCAGACAGGGGCACCUCUCGGGCCGCACCAGCUGUCACAUGCCCAAGGUGCCAAGCUGGUGAAAGGCCACCCUCCCGCCCCUGGCACCGCCGCCCACUGCAAACGCCCGGCCUGAGUUGGUGCCAGCAGCUUUCAGGGCUGUCAUGUGCCCGGGCAGUUGGCGGCAGGCCGGUCAAGGGGCCCUGCCCUCCGCCUCCCCUUGGCACACCUCUGAUUCGGAGGAAUGUGUGUGUGUGUG